rnacentral:lncRNA from 1 species
GAUUGCCAGCGCCUGCAGCUAGCUAGCUGUACUAAAGCUCCGGUCGGGCCGGUCACGUAGUUGUUGACGAGUUGGUGAACUUGUCUUAGCUUAGAUUUCACAUUAUUCAUGCCUACAUGAGCUGCAUACAACUGCUCUAAUCGCUAGGAUUGGGAUGGACAUUGAUUUCAUUUCCAUUCAGCUUUUGGACUGUACCGGUACUGUAACAUAGUAUGGAUGGUCAAUAUGAAGCAAGCUUCAUUGAAUUCCUCCAAGAGCUCUGUACUCUGUUCUGAUUAGACAGGAUGCUGCCCCAACCAUAUUUGAUUUCCCGCCUCGUCUUAAGUAGAAAUGACCCAAACCAAGGAAUUCCUGGAAAGAAUUUCGAUUUUGCAAACACCCUCCCAGAUACUGCAAAGACACCUGUACCAAAGUCUUCAGCACCUUCAUUUCUCGAGGACCACUACUACUCAAUACCAGAAAGUCCAAGAGGAGUAAAGUGGAAGUUAACACCAAUAAUGGACUGUUAUAAAAACUUGGAGAAGAGGCCGAAGACCACACAGAAAUCCUGUAGUGUAGAUCACAUGUACUUGCUGUUAAGUUUGGACAAACAUAAUUUGCACAACUUUACAACAAAUAAUUUACACUGUGUGCAUUCUGAUUAUUUGAAAUAGUUUAUCACUGGGCAUGUAACAAAAGUGAAUUCAUUAAAUAGGAAUG